rnacentral:tmRNA from 1 species
GGGGAUGAUUGGCUUCGAUGAAAGUCAAUUUCUUAAUAAGCAAGACGAGUUUAAUCGAACACUCGUUAAAGAUCGAUUAAGAUAAUAAAUGUCAAUUUAUUUUCAAAGGCAAGGAACGCGGUAGCUUCGCUAUUUAGCGCUCCGAACCUGGCUUUAGCUGUCGCCUAAAUAAUUAGUCAGCAGCCGUUCAAACCUUUGAUUUCUGAUAGAGGGAUUUGAAUGUCAUUUUUCAGGAUAAGCGGACAAAAUUAUCUCGCUUUGACCGCCGACAACUUAGGGGUAAGAAUUAGAAAUUUUUGCUUAGUUUAUUAAACUAAGAUAAUCUUGUAGAAUUAUUAAGAAUCAACUUUUAGACGCGGGUUCAAUUCCCGCCAUCUCCACUC